UUUCCCUCAGGAUAGCUGGCACUCGCUUUGAGCGAGUCUCAUCUGGUAAAGCGAAUGAUUAGAGGCCUUGGGGCCGAAACGACCUCAACCUAUUCUCAAACUUUAAAUGGGUGAGAUCUCUGGCUUGCUUGAACGUUGAAGCCACGAGAUGCGACCGAGUGUCGCCAUGGAUCAGAGUGCCAAGUGGGCCAAUUUUGGUAAGCAGAACUGGCGCUGUGGGA
rnacentral:rRNA from 3 species